UUUAAUUGGGGUAGCCCCCAAAAUAUUGGGACAUAGAAAAAAAGAAAAAAAGAAUAAGUGCACUUGAAUUGGCUGGGUGAGGCCGGUAUAAAUGUCUAUUCUGCACAAGGUACAGACAAGUCUGGUGGGAUCCAUGCCUUGUUCAUUUUAAUAAACGUGAGCUUGGCCACGUUGGCCGUGGACAGGCGGCUGCGCUUGUCUGUGAUAACCUCGUGCUGAUUUCACGUCCCCAUGACGGUGACAACGCAUUCGGAUGUCUGCCCUAUCAACUUUUGAUGCAAUUUUCCGUGCCUACCAUGGUGACAACGGGUAACGGGGAAUCAGGGUUCUAUUCCAGAGAGGGUUCCUGAGAAACGGCUACCACAUGCAAGGAAGGCAGCAGGCACACAAACUACCCUCUCUUGAAGCGGGGAGGUAGUGACGACAAAUAACAAUACACUCUUUCGAGGCCCUGUAAUUGUAAUGAGUCCACUUUAACUCUUUUAACUUGGAUCAAUUGGAGGGCAAGUCUGGUGCAGAGCGACUGACCCGUGCGUGCUGCAGCUGAAACUCCGCUA